AUUGAACGCUGGCGGCAGGCUUAACACAUGCAAGUCGAACGAGUGGCGGACGGGUGAGUAAUGCUUGGGAAUCUGGCUUAUGGAGGGGGAUAACGACGGGCAACUGUCGCUAAUACCGCGUACCAUAGGCUGAGCCCAAGUGGGCUUGGGUAGUUGGGGUGGUAAAGGCCUACCAAACUGACGAUCUCUAGCUGGUCUGAGCGGAUGACCAGCCAAACCGGGACUGAGAGACGGCCCGUACUCCUACGGGAGGCAGCAGUGGGGAAUAUUGCGCAAUGGGGGCAACCCUGACGCAGCCAUGCCGCGUGAAUGAAGAAGGCCUUCGGGUUGUAAAGUUCUUUCGUUAUUGAGGCGUUAAAUACAGAAGAAGCACCGGCUAACUCCGUGCCAGCAGCCGCGGUAAUUC
rnacentral:rRNA from 1 species